AUGCCAUGAUGAGGGCAUUUUUGCAACAACUCCUUGAAUUUCUCUCAUACAUCAUAAGAGAUUCAUAACAAGCUGAAAUGUGGUGAUUUAAAUCCUAAUAUU
rfam:Gossypium arboreum cultivar AKA8401 contig_11795_3, whole genome shotgun sequence.